rnacentral:rRNA from 1 species
AGCGAACGCUGGCGGCAGGCUUAACACAUGCAAGUCGAGCGCCCCGCAAGGGGAGCGGCAGACGGGAGAGUAACACGUGGGAACAUACCUUUUGGUUCGGAACAACUGAGGGAAACUUCAGCUAAUACCGGAUAAGCCCUUACGGGGAAAGAUUUAUCGCCGAAAGAUUGGCCCGCGUCUGAUUAGCUAGUUGGUGAGGUAACGGCUCACCAAGGCGACGAUCAGUAGCUGGUCUGAGAGGAUGAUCAGCCUCACUGGGACUGAGACACGGCCCAGACUCCCACGGGAGGCAGCAGUGGGGAAUAUUGGACAAUGGGGGCAACCCUGAUCCAGCCAUGCCGCGUGAGUGAUGAAGGCCUUAGGGUUGUAAAGCUCUUUUGCCCGGGAAGAUAAUGACGGUACCGGGAGAAUAAGCCCCGGCUAACUUCGUG